CUUCAGUUGGGAGAUUGUGACUCUCGAAUUUUCAAAGAGUUCGGGAAAAGAAGUGGUUCUUCCCAUUACUGGAUAC
rnacentral:tRNA from 13 species